rnacentral:tRNA from 1 species
AGAGUAUAGCUCAGUGGUACAGUGCAUGCCUAGCAUGUAUGAGGUCCUGGGUUCAACUCCCAGUGCCUCCA